rnacentral:rRNA from 1 species
UACGGGGGGGAGCAAGCGUUGUUCGGAUUUACUGGGCGUAAAGGGCGCGUAGGCGGCCACCGUAAGUCGACUGUGAAAUCUCCGGGCUUAACCCGGAACGGUCAGCUGAUACUGAUGUGCUAGAGUGCAGAAGGGGCAAUCGGAAUUCUUGGUGUAGCGGUGAAAUGCGUAGAUAUCAAGAGGAACACCUGAGGUGAAGACGGGUUGCUGGGCUGACACUGACGCUGAGGCGCGAAAGCUAGGGUAGCAAACGGG